rnacentral:rRNA from 1 species
GACGAACGCUGGCGGCGUGCUUAACACAUGCAAGUCGAGCGGUAAGGCCUUUCGGGGUACACGAGCGGCGAACGGGUGAGUAACACGUGGGUGAUCUGCCCUGCACUUCGGGAUAAGCCUGGGAAACUGGGUCUAAUACCGGAUAUGACCUCCUAUCGCAUGGUGGGUGGUGGAAAGAUUUAUCGGUGCAGGAUGGGCCCGCGGCCUAUCAGCUUGUUGGUGGGGUAAUGGCCUACCAAGGCGACGACGGGUAGCCGACCUGAGAGGGUGACCGGCCACACUGGGACGGAGACACGGCCCAGACGCCUACGGGAGGCAGCAGUGGGGAAUAUUGAACAAUGGGCGAAAGCCUGAUGCAGCGACGCCGCGUGAGGGAUGACGGCCUUCGGGUUGUAAACCUCUUUCAGCAGGGACGAAGCGCAAGUGACGGUACCUGCAGAAGAAGCACCGGCUAACUACGUG